rnacentral:lncRNA from 1 species
UAAUUCAUUCACUUUUCAGCAACUUCUCUGCAACCAUUUUAUUUUAUUUUUACUUUUUAUUUUUCUCUUUUUUAGAAGGAAUAUGAUAAGAACAUGAAUUUUCUUCCUUCUUUAUUUUCUUUUUCUUUUCUUUUUCUAUCUUUUUUCUUUUAACUUUUGAAAUAUCACAACUAUAUUAAUUCAACCCCACACAAAUCCAAACAAGACUCUUUCAACCCUUUAAAUAGGGGUAUAAUAUUCUUUUUCACCUUUAGGCUUGUAAUAAGUUUCAAACAAAGAAUGAGAUAAAUAGGCUCAAAGGGGUUUCAAACAAUGGAUGAUAUUUUUAAGGUUUUCUUUUGGGCUAAGUGGCUAAA